rnacentral:rRNA from 1 species
UACGUAGGGUGCAAGCGUUGUCCGGAUUUAUUGGGCGUAAAGAGCUCGUAGGCGGUUUGUCGCGUCGACUGUGAAAGCCCGGGGCUCAACUCCGGGUCUGCAGUCGAUACGGGCAGACUAGAGUUCGGUAGGGGAGACGUGGAAUUCCUGGUGUAGCGGUGAAAUGCGCAGAUAUCAGGAGGAACACCGAUGGCGAAGGCAGGUCUCUGGGCCGAUACUGACGCUGAGGAGCGAAAGCGUGGGGAGCGAACAGG